GCGGACGGGUGAGUAAUGCCUAGGAAUCUGCCUGGUAGUGGGGGAUAACGUUCGGAAACGGACGCUAAUACCGCAUACGUCCUACGGGAGAAAGCAGGGGACCUUCGGGCCUUGCGCUAUCAGAUGAGCCUAGGUCGGAUUAGCUAGUUGGYGGGGUAAWGGCYCACCAAGGCGACGAUCCGUARCUGGUCUGAGAGGAUGAUCAGYCACACUGGAACUGAGACACGGUCCAGACUCCUACGGGAGGCAGCAGUGGGGAAUWUUGGACAAUGGGCGAAAGCCUGAUCCAGCMAUGCCGCGUGWRUGAAGAAGGCCUUCGGGUUGUAAAGCUCUUUUGUCAGGGAAGAAACGGUGAGAGCUAAUAUC
rnacentral:rRNA from 1 species